CGGGUGCGUAACGCGUAUAGAACCUACCUUUUACAGAGGAAUAGCCUUUAGAAAUGAAGAUUAAUGCCUCAUAGUAUUGUAGACUGGCAUCAGUUUAUAAUUAAAGAUUUAUCGGUAAAAGAUGGCUAUGCGUCCUAUUAGUUAGUUGGUAAGGUAACGGCUUACCAAGACAGCGAUAGGUAGGGGUCCUGAGAGGGAGAUCCCCCACACUGGUACUGAGACACGGACCAGACUCCUACGGGAGGCAGCAGUGAGGAAUAUUGGACAAUGGAGGAGACUCUGAUCCAGCCAUGCCGCGUGUAGGAAGAAUGCCCUAUGGGUUGUAAACUACUUUUAUACAGGAAGAACACUGGUAUGUAUACCAGCUUGACGGUACUGUAAGAAUAA
rnacentral:rRNA from 1 species